AUCUGGAGGGCUAAAAUCCCCUUAAAAAUUCAAAUUUUUCUUUGGCAGUUGUCUCAAGAUUCUGUCUUGACCAGGGAUGUAAUGAGCAGGAGGGGAUGGCUUGGGAGACCUGUAUGCUCCUUCUGUAAUGAGAAGGAAACAACACAACACCUUUUCUUCACUUGCCCCAUGGCUAGGGUGAUGUGGAGAACUGUGGGCUGUGUGCUGGGCACGGAUCGUUGUCCUAGCAACAUAUGGCAAUAUUUUCCUUGGUGUUAUACAUUCCUUCCUGACGGGGAAAGAUUCUAUACAUUUGGCCUUGCUGCUCUUUGUUGGGCAAUGUGGAAUAGUCGCAAAUAA
rnacentral:rRNA from 1 species